UACAGAGGGUGCGAGCGUUGUUCGGAAUUAUUGGGCGUAAAGGGCGCGUAGGCGGUUGAGUAAGUCACCUGUGAAAUCUCCCGGCUCAACUGGGAGCUUGCAGGCGAAACUGCCGUGCUGGAGUGUGGGAGAGGUGAGUGGAAUUCCCGGUGUAGCGGUGGAAUGCGUAGAGAUCCGGAGGAAGACCGGUGGCGAAGGCGGUCUGCUGGGCAGUUUCUGACACUGAUGCGCGACAGCGUGGGGAGCAAACAGG
rnacentral:rRNA from 1 species